AGUGUUUCAGAUUCCUUCAGGCUUACUAUCUAAUAUUUGGAGUUUAAUCUUUUGUUCAUUAAUAAUCUACAAAGGGUCUAAGAAACUCCUAGAUAUUUUUUCUUAAAAAGAAAAAUCAAGGGCCAGGCAUGGUGGUUCAUGCCUAUAAUCCCAGCACUUUGGGAGGCCAAGUUGGGCACAUCAUUUGAGCCUAGGAGUUCCAGACCAGCCUGAGCAACACAAAACCCUGUCUCUACCAAGAAACAAGAGAAUAGUUAGGUGUGGUGGUCCAUGCCUGUAGUCCCAGGUACUUGGGAGGCUAAGGUGUGAGGAUCACCUGAGCCUGAGCCUGGGAAGUCAAGGCUGCAGUGAGCCACUGCACUCCAGCCUGGGUGAUAAGAGUGAGACUCAAGAAAUAAAGAAGAAAGAGAAAAAGAAAAAUAGGAAGGAAGGCAGGAAGGAAGGAAGGAAGGAAGGAGAGAAGGAGAGGAGAGAAGGAGAGAGGGAGGGAGGGAGGAAGGAAGGAAGGAAGGAAGGAAGGAAAGGAAGGUCAAUAAUUGGCUGUCAUGCUUUGAUUUUAGUCCCAUACAUUAAA